rnacentral:rRNA from 1 species
UGCAGUCGAGCGAAGAACAGAUAAAGCUUGCUUUAUUUGUUACUGAGCGGCGAACGGGUGAGUAAUACUUGGAUAAUCUGCCUCUAGGACCGGGAUAACCUCAGGAAACUGAGACUAAUACCGGAUGUGACCACGGACACUAAGGUGUCAGUGGUAAAAUGUUUUUUCGCCUAGAGAUGAGUCCAAGUCGCAUCAGGUUGUUGGUAAGGUAAAGGCUUACCAAGCCUAUGACGCGUAGCAGGUCUUAGCGGAUGAUCUGCCACAUGGGGACUGAGAUACGGCCCUGACUCCUACGGGAGGCAGCAGUGAGGAAUAUUGGGCAAUGGACGAAAGUCUGACCCAGCGAUGUCGCGUGAAGGAUGAAGGCCUUCGGGUUGUAAACUUCUGUCAGCAGGGAAGAUAGUGACGGUACCUGCAGAGGAAGCCCCGGCUAACUCCGUGCCAGCAGCCGCGGUAAUACGGAGGGGGCAAACGUUACUCGGAUUUACUGGGCGUAAAGGGUUCGUAGGCGGUUAUUUAAGUUAGAUGUGAAAGCUUGAAGCUUAACUUCAAAAUUGCAUCUAAAACUGGAUUACUAGAUUCUUAGAGAGGUUAAUGGAAUUACCGGUGUAGCGGUGAAAUGCGUAGAUAUCGGUAGGAACACCAGUGGCGAAAGCGAUUAACUGGCUAAGUAAUGACGCUGAGGGACGAAAGCGUGGGUAGCAAACAGGAUUA